UCCUACGGGAGGCAGCAGUCGGGAAUAUUGCGCAAUGGAGGAAACUCUGACGCAGUGACGCCGCGUAUAGGAAGAAGGUUUUCGGAUUGUAAGCUAUUGUCGUUAGGGAAGAUAAAAGACUGUACCUAAGGAGGAAGCCCCGGCUAACUACGUGCCAGCAGCCGCGGUAAUACGUAGGGGGCAAGCGUUAUCCGGAUUUACUGGGUGUAAAGGGAGCGUAGACGGCCAGACAAGUCUGAAGUGAACAUCCAGCGCUUAACGUUGGAAGUGCCUUGGAAACUACCGGGCUAGAGAGCAGGAGGGGG
rnacentral:rRNA from 1 species